UCAUGUUCAUCAUCAUCAUGCACAUGAACAACAACAUUAACACAUAAUCGUGGCCAUGAAACCUCAUCAACUAACAGCAAAACAAUCAUAACCAAGGGAAUUUUUCUGGACAGAGUUAUGUUUAAAUGCAACAGUAUUCAUCAAGUUCAUGUUCAUGGUUCAUCAUCAUUUGACAGAUUUCGAGCAAAACACACAAUGGCAAGGCAAGCAGCAUGACACUAACAUCUA
rnacentral:lncRNA from 1 species